rnacentral:rRNA from 1 species
GACGAACGCUGGCGGCGUGCUUAACACAUGCAAGUCGAACGGAAAGGCCCUGCUUUUGUGGGGUGCUCGAGUGGCGAACGGGUGAGUAACACGUGAGUAACCUGCCCUUGACUUUGGGAUAACUUCAGGAAACUGGGGCUAAUACCGGAUAGGAGCUCCUGCUGCAUGGUGGGGGUUGGAAAGUUUCGGCGGUUGGGGAUGGACUCGCGGCUUAUCAGCUUGUUGGUGGGGUAGUGGCUUACCAAGGCUUUGACGGGUAGCCGGCCUGAGAGGGUGACCGGCGACAUUGGGACUGAGAUACGGCCCAGACUCCUACGGGAGGCAGCAGUGGGGAAUAUUGCACAAUGGGCGGAAGCCUGAUGCAGCAACGCCGCGUGCGGGAUGACGGCCUUCGGGUUGUAAACCGCUUUCGCCUGUGACGAAGCGGGAGUGACGGUAAUGGGUAAAGAAGCACCGGCUAACUACGUG